UACAUGAUAGCUCAAGGGGGAGAUUAUAUUUCAUUCAGAAAAAGAGGGGAGGAAAACAGGUGGAAUUAAAGCACCAGUAAACAAAUGAUCACACAUAUAUUUGACCUCAAGAAUAUCAGUGUCGGAAAAUCCUCUGUUGUGCCUAUUGUGGGAAAAGUACAGAUUGUAAAUCACAAGUGAUUAUGCAGGAGAGGAUCCCCAUUGUAGAAAAGCCAUAGCAAUGCGAGAAAUGGUUUAGUCUGAACAGCUUUCUUGGGGUUCAUUGAAGGACACAUAUAGGACAGAUGGCCUGCAAGUGCUUUCAAUGUGGUAAAUGCUUUAGCAAGCAUAGCAGCAUCAGAGGACUCACACCAGGGAGAAACCGGAAGUGCCUGGUUUGAGGGAAAAGUUUCAUUCGAAAUUCCCACCUCAUGAGACACCUGAAGACUCACCCUGG